AUAGCAGCUUUGUUACAUUGAGACCAGUUCUCCUGUGAUCACCAAAGUUAAGGAAUGUUGAGCCUGUUCAGUACCUAGAUGGGUGACCACUUGGGAAUACCAUGUGCUGUAG